GAUGAACGCUGGCGGCGUGCUUAAUACAUGCAAGUCGAGCGGACGGACGCGAAGCUUGCUUCUCUGAUGUUAGCGGCGGACGGGUGUGUAACACGUGGAUCACCUACUUAUAAUACUGGGAUCACUUCGGGAAACCGGAUCUUAUACCGGAUAAUCUUUUGAUCCGUAUUGUUCAAAGGUGAAAUUCGGUCUUGCUGUCUCUUAUAGAUGGAUCCGCGCUGCAUUGGCUAGUUGGUAAGGUAACGGCUUACCACGGCAACGAGGCAUAGCCGACCUGUGAGGGGGAUCGGCGGCCCUGGAGCGGAAACACGGUCAAGGCUCCUACGGGACGCAGCAGUAGGGUAUGGGCCGCAAUGGGCGAAAGCCUGACGGAGCGACGCGGCGUGAGAGAUGAAGGUCUUCGGAGCGUAAAACUCGGUUAUUAGGGAAGAACAUAUGUGUAAGGAGAUGUGCAGAUCGUGACGGUACCUAAUAAGAAAGCAACGGCUAACUACGUG
rnacentral:rRNA from 1 species